AUUGAACGCUGGCGGCAUGCCUUACACAUGCAAGUCGAACGGCAGCGGGGGUAGCUUGCUACCUGCCGGCGAGUGGCGAACGGGUGAGUAAUACAUCGGAACGUGCCCUGUAGUGGGGGAUAACUAGUCGAAAGACUAGCUAAUACCGCAUACGACCUGAGGGUGAAAGUGGGGGACCGCAAGGCCUCAUGCUAUAGGAGCGGCCGAUGUCUGAUUAGCUAGUUGGUGGGGUAAAGGCCUACCAAGGCGACGAUCAGUAGCUGGUCUGAGAGGACGAUCAGCCACACUGGGACUGAGACACGGCCCAGACUCCUACGGGAGGCAGCAGUGGGGAAUUUUGGACAAUGGGGGCAACCCUGAUCCAGCAAUGCCGCGUGUGUGAAGAAGGCCUUCGGGUUGUAAAGCACUUUUGUCCGGAAAGAAAUCGCUCUGGUUAAUACCUGGAGUGGAUGACGGUACCGGAAGAAUAAGGACCGGCUAACUACGUGCCAGCAGCCGCGGUAAUACGUAGGGUCCAAGCGUUAAUCGGAAUUACUGGGCGUAAAGCGUGCGCAGGCGGUUGUGCAAGACCGAUGUGAAAUCCCCGGGCUUAACCUGGGAAUUGCAUUGGUGACUGCACGGCUAGAGUGUGUCAGAGGGAGGUAGAAUUCCACGUGUAGCAGUGAAAUGCGUAGAGAUGUGGAGGAAUACCGAUGGCGAAGGCAGCCUCCUGGGAUAACACUGACGCUCAUGCACGAAAGCGUGGGGAGCAAACAGG
rnacentral:rRNA from 1 species